rnacentral:rRNA from 1 species
AAUUCUUUCACUGUUCUCCAAGCGUCUUAUCAAGAUCUGCGGGAGAAUGAGGGAGGAUCCGUUUUCUUUCGGAAUGCUGUUUCCCACAACCGGGAUCUCCUUGAGGCGGAAAGCUCCGCAAGGAGGUGCUUGGAAGUGGAACAGUGGAUCCGGUGGGAAGAAAUCCCCAAGAUCAAGGCAAAUCUCGAAGCUGAGCACGAGCAUGCUCUCGACUUGUUUAAGUCGGAGGAUCUUAGAAGGGAAUUAGAAAAAAAGAGCGGGGUAGCUAAGUAA